rnacentral:rRNA from 1 species
GAUGAACGCUAGCUACAGGCUUAACACAUGCAAGUCGAGGGGCAGCAUGAACUUAGCUUGCUAAGUUUGAUGGCGACCGGCGCACGGGUGAGUAACACGUAUCCAACCUUCCGUUUACUCAGGGAUAGCCUUUCGAAAGAAAGAUUAAUACCUGAUAGUAUGGUGAGAUUGCAUGAUAGCACCAUUAAAGAUUUAUUGGUAAACGAUGGGGAUGCGUUCCAUUAGGUAGUAGGCGGGGUAACGGCCCACCUAGCCGACGAUGGAUAGGGGUUCUGAGAGGAAGGUCCCCCACAUUGGAACUGAGACACGGUCCAAACUCCUACGGGAGGCAGCAGUGAGGAAUAUUGGGUCAAUGGGCGAGAGCCUGAACCAGCCAAGUAGCGUGAAGGAUGAAGGUCCUACGGAUUGUAAACUUCUUUUAUACGGGAAUAAAGUAUCCUACGUGUAGGAUUUUGUAUGUACCGUAUGAAUAAGCAUCGGCUAACUCCGUG